AGAAAUGUAAAGACAAUAUAGAAGCUGCUAACUUCUCAUAAUAGCGGUUAAAAUCCGUUAACAUUUCUA
rnacentral:tRNA from 1 species